rnacentral:tRNA from 1 species
AGGAAUAUAGUGUAAAGGCAGCAUACCAGACUCAUGAUCUGGUGGUUUAUGGUUCGACCCCUAAUGUUCCUA